UAGACUUGUCAAUUUGGGACCUCCUCCCAUUCCCUCCAAUCGGUCCAACCUAACCGAAUCCCCCAUUUUUUUUCCACUCUCAAAAAUCAUCAGCUUUCUAGUUAAGCCUAAGAUUGUUGGUUUCUUCUUGCACCCCACACCACACCAUCCUCCCACCUCCACCCCUUAACCCGAAUAAACUUCUGGCCACCACCGUGUGGUGGCGGCGCACGGCGUUGACAAGCGACGGAGGGACAUGAGAGAGGAAGUCAGAGAGAGAGAGAGAGCCGGCAGAUCCGGCCAUUGACAUUCCGGCAACCGAAAUUGGGCGACGACGUCGUCUGAUGAAAACGAUGACGAUGAAGUUGAAGAUGGUAAGGUGGUGUUCUUAGCUACGAUAGCCACAAUUUCUCUGGUAAGAAACCCAUUUCCUUCGAUUCUCUGAUCGGUAGACUGUUACCUCCGAAAACUUCCCCUGAUGCUUUCAUUCUUUCUUUUCUUUUAUGAUGAUGAGGAUGACGAUGAAAUGGAGAUAAUGGCAAGGUGGUGGUGGGCACCGUAAUGUACGGCAGACAAGCCGGACCAUCCCGCACGGCGGCAGCCGGCGGCGGUGGCUCCGGCGACGGCAACAAUGGUAGUGGUGAUGACGGGAUUGGGUUGUGGUUCGAGUUAUGUUUCAGUUUUGGUCACGGGUUUGGAUUACGGUUCAUCAGAUUCGACUCGGUCAACACCGGGUCAACUCAGUCAAUGCUGGUCAACUCGGGUCAACAGUCAACCUGGUCAGCCGGUCGAAACCAGUCAACACCCGACGCGGAAUGUCAUAGUUGCACGCUAGCUAAUUCACGUUCUUGAAACGACACUACGGAACCACGCUAAGCUAGCUUUGCACAGGAAUGUCAAGGUUGCAUUUUUCAAAACUACGGAACGGUUGGAAUAGGAGAACCCACGGGAUUUCGGUACUUGGCGGGCGUUCAUCGUUUAGAAGUCUUAGGUUAAUUGCUUCCGCUGUGCAAUGAAGAUACCGGUCCAGUCACGCCAGCUCUGAUAUUUCGGGGUGUGACAAUUUCACCCCUGUAUAACCAGAAACUCUGUAACCCUAAAUUCCCAUAUAGGGGUGAAAUGGCGGCAAAAUGAGAGGGAAAACAAUAAAGAAUAAAAGGGUUAAUAAAAAGAAAAAUGAAAUGACUAAAA